GGGGUAGCUUGCUACCCGCUGACAAGCGGCGGACGGGUGAGUAACGCAUAGGAAUUUACCCGAUAGUGGGGGAUAACCUGGGGAAACCCAGGCUAAUACCGCAUACGUCCUACGGGAGAAAGGGGGCUUCGGCUCCCGCUAUCGGAUGAGCCUAUGUCGGAUUAGCUGGUUGGUGAGGUAAUGGCUCACCAAGGCGACGAUCCGUAGCUGGUCUGAGAGGAUGAUCAGCCACAUCGGGACUGAGACACGGCCCGAACUCCUACGGGAGGCAGCAGUGGGGAAUAUUGGACAAUGGGGGCAACCCUGAUCCAGCCAUGCCGCGUGUGUGAAGAAGGCCCUCGGGUUGUAAAGCACUUUCAGUGAGGAAGAACGCCUGAUGGUUAAUACCCGUCAGGAAAGACAUCACUCACAGAAGAAGCACCGGCUAACUCCGUGCCAGCAGCCGCGGUAAUACGGAGGGUGCAAGCGUUAAUCGGAAUUACUGGGCGUAAAGCGCGCGUAGGUGGCUUGAUAAGCCGGUUGUGAAAGCCCCGGGCUCAACCUGGGAACGGCAUCCGGAACUGUCAGGCUAGAGUGCAGGAGAGGAAGGUAGAAUUCCCGGUGUAGCGGUGAAAUGCGUAGAGAUCGGGAGGAAUACCAGUGGCGAAGGCGGCCUUCUGGA
rnacentral:rRNA from 1 species